UAUAAAAAAAUCACCUGAGCACAGUAAUACUCUGACAGUAGAGACAUCAACACGAAAAUCAGAAUAAAAAUAAGGCAUACGCAAGUACAAAUAAAGAAUAACACAAUCAUGCUUGUUUGCACUAUGGCUUUAUGACAGGAUUCAGUGUCCUUGUGCUUUUGAGUUGUCAAUUAAUUUGCCCUUGCACUGUGAUCUGCUAGCUUUCUGGUUAGCUCAGAUGGUAGAGCGACCGGCUCGGAAAGGCGUUGGUACCAUGUUCAAAUCCUGGGCCAGGACGCAUUUUUCUUAAACUAUGAAGCUUUGUUUCCAAGAAACCCGUGUGAGUUUCCUUUGUAGCUGCAUGCUACAUACAGGUAGAUGUCAAUUUUUCCUUUCAUAAACCUUUCUCCACAUUGCGGAAUUCCACAGACUGAUUUGUCAGGAUGAAAAUUCUUUGUGAAAGUUAAAAAAGCACCUGAGCUUUGCAGCAAACUGCUGUACAAGACCAUUACAUAAAAAUACUAGGCAUGUGUACUUAAUAAACUAGACUGCACAAGGUGGUGGGCACAGUGAGAGAAGAUGAGAACUAAAUGAAAGAAAGAAAGAAAGAAAGAAAGAAAGAAAGAAAGAAAGAAACCACAAGCACUGUGCACUGUACAUGGCUAAUAACCAUGCCAUACAGGCCUCUUGAAAAGCUUGAAACCAACUGUUUAACACAAUUUCUAAUUGACUGCUUAUAUACAUAGAAGGCUUCAAUGGCUGUUGAGUCAGUAGUUAAGCAAGUCUAUGGAAGAAAACGGAACUCAAUCUCAUAUGUGAAGGCCCACUCCCUCUCACAAGCAGCAUGUUCACACUGACGUGUUGCAAACAUUCAAAGAUUUUUUUUUUUUUUGUAGAAAUUGCUUGUCCCACAAACGUAAUUUAUUUUAUUAUACAAAAAAGACUGCUGCACUUCUGGUCAUGAUAAUGCUGCUUCCAGUCCCAAUGUAGCUACAAGUCUUCAUAUUUUGCCAAUUUGGAAAAUUCUAAUAAUUAAACGUCUCAACCAAAACUUUGCUGCUAUCACUUACUAGCUUUGGACUUUUACUCAAAUAAAUUUUAUUCAAACUGAUUCAGUCAAUGUCCAAGAGAGCAUUUAUUCAUUUCCUACAUUCUUAAACAGGGAAACAAGGAAGUUGGGCUUAAGCUAAAGCUUCCUCUUAAUGAAGUACUUUCAACCUAAAACUUCUUUAGAUAAUUAUGAAUGAGCACCUUUAUGUAAAAUAUAGGUUUAAAACUCAGGCAGUAAUUAUACGACAGAUCCAAACGGUGCAGUCAUGUAAGCCAAAGAGGCACACCCAAAGCAUCGCUGCAAAGGUGCAAGCUUGAAGGCCAAUGCUGCAUUUAAAUGCAGUGACAUAUUUUGGGAGAUAUUGAGCAAGACAUUUAGCAGUGAGAACUGCGAAGGUCACAGCUUUAUGCCAAACAGCAUAGUCUUUAAAUAUUUUAAUUUGUGACAGACUGAACAUGCAGAGUGCCAAAUGCAAAGCCAUACGGAUUGGGUUAAAGUACAUGUACAGCGUUUUUCAAUUUUUAUCCCCACCAGGGAUAAAAAGAAAACCUGAAGAGAGAGACCUCGUCAAUGCCGCCCAAUUGCAAAAACGGCGGUGUGCCACCCUCAUCUCGGAGGAUUCCACGGAGCCACAUGGUAUCUUAGGCCUUUUCCAUGUCACGAAAAAUGGAUAAGAAGAACUGCUUAUGGACAAAAGCAUCACAAAUAUUGGCCUCAAUAUGCACGAGGUGGCCAGUUGUUGACUGCCCUUCUCUGAAUCCGCAUUGGUAUGGAUCAAGCAUUUUGUUUGAUUCAACGUAAUGUAGACAGUGACAAUUUAUCAUUUUUUCAAACAACUUGCAGAGGCUACUUGUUAGCGCUAUUGGACGAUAGCUCAUUACUGAGGUGGGAUCUUUGCCCUGUUUCAACACAGGUAUGACAAUAGCUUCUUUCCAUGAGAAUGGAAGAUGCCCAGCUGCCCUGACAGUAAUAAAGAGUGUGAGUAGGGUGAUUUGUGUGUCUUUGUGAAGGUGUUUAAUCCUGUUGUACAUAACUCUGUCGGGACCCAGAGCAGAAUUCUGACAUGCAUUUAAAGAGCCCCUCACCAGGUCUGGUCAUUUUGAGCUGACAAGCGCAGAGCAUACAUUGCGUGAUAACGAUCGUGUCUGCAAAGUAUUACAUCGCUAUGCACCACGGAAAGAUCUGAAGUUUCAAACCAAACGCUGUUUUUCCUUCUCCUCACAGCCGCCGCGCUCCAAGCUGGAGGAUGACGUAGUCGCGUCCCUGCACCUACGUAUUCGAGUCCGCAGUAUGACGUCACUCGUGGUGACACGUGACUUCGAGAAUUAUUCAAGGCAUCAUUCGUUAUUUGUGUGAUCUGUCGCUUGAAUUGACGAAUUGAAGUUUAGAGAAAUAUAAAACACAUAAACGGAAUGUCUGCAUCUUUCUUGCUUUACUUCGCAACCGAAGCAAGAGAGAUGUACUUCCGCUUUGUCUGCUUGUUCCCACGGUCGUGCGGUCAUGUGCGCAGGUACCAAAACUAUGCCAUUUUCUACCAUGUUCCGGCGCAUGAUCAUGCUCUGCGAUCAGCUUGUUCUGCCUCAGUAUUCGUGUAGCACUGAAUUAUACCGCUAGUCAUGUGUCCUUGUGCAUGGCGCACAAAGUCGUGCACUGCGCGAGCUGAGCUAUCACAACAGCUCGCGCGCAACGCCGCUAGCGGAAAUGCACAUCGGGGGGAAAAAAAAAAAAUGAAGGCGGAGCUUGUGACGUAUGUGUCACACGAUCCUUGAGGUCCGGCAUAGGAAAAUGCAGGGAAGGAACUUUGCUGCCGAAACCUAGAUGGGGGCGAGUGGAGAGGGAGUCUCACUAUGCAGUGGAGCCCGCCUGCUGAAAUCAAGGGUUCGCAGCACUGAAAUAUUUCUAUCUUGGCUAUUAAUGAGUCGAAAAAUUUCUGCAGCAGAACACUCCCUAGAGGACAUGUAACAGCAUAUAACCAAAAUUUGCUAUGGGGCCUGGUGAGGGACCCUCUAAGGAAGAUUUCAGCUCAGAAACGCAGAAAGGCUGGUUAAAAGGUUCAUUUGGACUACAUUUACUAUACAAUCCAUCCGUUACCAAGAGCAACGGAUGGAUUUGCUGCCCCUUCAGCUUUCUCAGCCUGCCACCAUACUUUCACCUCCUGUGUGUAUGAAUUAAUACCGGAAAGAAACCUUUCCCAGCUUGCCCUCCUUGCUUGUUUUCGUGUGCUCCUUCCCCGAGAUUUUAUCUGUUUGACUACAAUAAGGCUUUUCACAUUAGGAUAUCGACGAAGAAUGCCCCAUGCUUUGUUUUGAUUCUUUCGUGCCUGCCUACAGUCGUCGUUCCACCAGGGGACUCAUCUUUUGCAUGGGUUUCCGUUUGGAGACGACGUUUUAUUCUGUCAAUGUCUCGUUGACGACGAUGAUAAAAGGCCUACUCUUUG